ACACGGGUGGGAUUAUUGUUUAGAAGUCUUGUGGGAAAGAUGUAUUUACAGAUUCGUUAUGCACUCUGUAUGUGUUUGUACUUAAGUCAGACAGCUUUUAUAGAAUUUACGCGUACAAGCUUGACGAUACAAGCCAGCCCGUUCUGCUCUCCCAGGCAACCCGACACCAUCUUGUAGUACUGUGUCUGGUCAACAGGUAAACAAGUUGUCUGUCGUCCUUCAAAGAAGGCCAUGUGCUUUAAUAUAUACUGGAAAGUUAAUCCAAAGAAAAGGCAGAAGUAUGGACGAGUACUGGAUGCUACUAAGAAGUUGAGAAACCACGUGCAUGAAACUGAAAAAACUUAAAAUGACGGAGGAUAACUAUGUACCAGGACACUGGUGAAACUGGAGGAUAUAGGGCAACCAUUUGGAUCUGUAAAAGAUGUGGACUCCGCUUCAUCUAAGUGGAACAGUGACAAAUGUUAACUGUGUAAGAUGCUAUCAGUGAAAUAAAUGGAAGAUGAUGAAUUCCUUCCUUUUGU